CCAGGCAGGAGGCCUUGCCUCUUCGAUCGUGUUGCUUUUGUGCUAGCCUUCUUAAGGCAUCCUUGUUUAACUUAUGUCUGUACUUAGAUAUUGUUGCUUCCACUGACUCUUGUGUAUCGAGCUUGUAUUUGAGCCCUCGAGGCCCCUGGCUUGUAAUAUGAAGCUUGUAUUAUUUUAAUUUGUGUCUAAAGUUGUGUUGUGAUAUCUUCCCGUGAGUCCCUGAUCUUGAUCGUACACAUUUGCGUGUAUGAUUAGUGUACGGUCGAAUCGGGGCGUCACAUACGAUCUCGAGGUAGAUCAUCUUGUACUUGAUACUCCAUCACAUCAAUAUAAUCAAAGCAGGACGUAGGGUUUUACCUCUUCGAGAGGGCUCGGACCAGGGUAAACAUCGUCUCCUGUUUCCCUCCUGUUACCAUUGUUCCUAGACCAACAGCUCGGGACCCCCUACCUGAGAUCCGCCGGUAUUAGCACCGACAUUGGUGGCCCGUACAGGUCCCGUUGUGUGGUCAAAACGGAUCGAUGGCUCGUCUUCAGAUCAGCUUUGACAUUGGCUGCGGCGACAUCUUUGUCCCUGAGUAGUUUUUUGUAUUUGCCAUUGUCGUUCUUCAUGCUUAUUCAACCGAAUGCCUCGGCCGCGUUAAAAGCCUCGCCUCAGAUUAGAUCAUCAGAUUUGGGAGUGACCACCAUGUAUCCUUCCUUGCUCAUGUGUCUGUUCCUUUGGGGAAAUGUCACGCGGUGUUUACCGGAGUCCUGAUAGCUUGCUACAGCCCAGUUACACUCGCUACUGACCGACACAUGCAUUGAUGGGUCACGUAUGCAUGUCCCUGUAAGUUUGUGCCACCUUGGGUUUACGACUAGUCAUGUCUGACCGAGUUCUCUGUCAUAUGAAUGCUAGCGACACAGUCAUAUACGUGAGCCAAAAGGCGCAAAUGGUCCUGACCGAGGUAAGGCUGCAGCCAUGGGUUACCGUGCGUGAGGCUGCAAUAUGAUAUGAUGUGUUACAUGCUAGAUCGGUGUGACUUAGGAUCGGGGUCCUGACAGAUGACCUUGGGGGCUAUAUGAUGCUCGGUCUCCCUCCCCCAACUGUACGCAUACCACUCGAUCAGGGCAUUGCUCAUCAAGGACGACGGUGAGAAGACCACAUUCUCUCUCCACCGCCUCUCCAUUUCCUCCAGUUGCUUCUUCUUCUUUUCCGCCCGAGGGUCGCAACAGUUUUCAAGGGUAGAGUAUUUAACUCAAAUUUAUAGAUUCGACACAAGGGGAGCCAAAGAAUAUUUGCAAGUAUUAGCAGCUGAGUUGUCAAUUCAACCACACAUGGAGAUUAAUUAUCUGCAUCAACGUGAUCAGUAGCAAAGUAAUAUGAUAGUUUUGAUAAUAGUAGCGACAGCAAUAGUAAUGGUAAUAGUGAUAGCAAUAGUUUUGUAGCAAGUGCAACAGUAACGAUAUCAGUAGUAACUUAACAAGAACAAUAUAAGAUAAAUUCGUAGGCAUUGGAUCGGUAAUUUUUUGGAUGCUAUUCAUCAUGUGACAGUCAUAACCUAGGGCGACACAGCACUAGCUCCAGUUCAUAAAUAUAAUGUAGGCGUGUGUUCCGUAAAUAGUCAUACGUGCUUAUGGAAAGAACUUGCACGACAUCUUUUGUCCUACCUUCCCGUGGCAGCGGGGUCCAAUUGGAAACUAAGGGAUAUUAAGGCCUCCUUUUAAUAGAGAACCGGAACAAAGCAUUAACACACAGUGAAUACAUGAACACUCCUCAAACUACGGUCAUCACCAGGAGUGGUCUCGACUAUUGUCACUCCGGGGUUGCCGGAUCAUAAUACGUAAUAGGUGACUGUAACUUGCAAGAUCGGAUCUAGAACAUAGAUAUAAUGAUGAUAACAUAAACGGUUCAGAUCUGAAUUCAUGGCACCCGGGCCCAAAGUGACAAGCAUUAAGCAUGGCAAAGUCAUAGCAACAGCAAUCUCAGAACAUAGUGGAUACUAGGGAUCAGGCCCUAACAAAACUAACUAGAUUACAUGAUGAAUCUCAUCCAACUCCUCACCGACCAGCGAGCCUAUGAAGGAAUUACUCACUCCUAGUGGGGAGCAUCAUGGAAUUGGCGAUGGAGAAGGGUUGGCGACGACGAAGAUCGAAGACCCCCCUCUCCGGAGCCCCAAACGGACUCCAGAUAUGGCCUCCCGAUGAAGAACAGGAGGUGACGGCAGCUCCGUCUCGUGGAACGUGAUAAUUCUUUCUCCUCGAUUUUUUCUGGAAAAAUGUGAUUUUAUAGCGUCGGUUUCAGGGUCUGCGGGGCCACCAGGUGGGGACAACUCACCUGGGCGCGGCUGGGGGGUAGGCGCGCCCUGGUGGGUUGUGCCCACCCAGGUGCCCCCCUCCGGUGGAUCUUGGCUCCAGAAAUUCUCUUUUAUUGUGUAAAAAACCCUCGAAAGUUUCGUUCCAUUUCGAGAACUUUUAUUUCUGCACAAAAACAACACCAUGGUAGUUCUGCUGAAAAUAGCGUCAGUCCGGGGUUAGUUUCAUUCAAAUCAUGCAAAUUAGAGUCCAAAACAAGAUAGAUACGUUGGAGACGUAUCAACUCCUCCAAGCUUAAACCUUUGCUUGUCCUCAAGCAAUUCAGUUGAUAAACUGAAAGUGAAAAAGAAAAACUUUUACGAACUCUUUUGCUCUUGUUUGCAUAAAUAAGCUUAAACAGCACCCAGGUUUUCACCCAAGAUCAUAACUAACCAUGUCGACAAUAACUCUUAAAAAUUAUAUUAAUUCAUAUCAAUGGCAUAAUCAGCUAGCGAGCAAUAAUAAGAUAUCUCAAACACCAACACGUUGUCAAAACAACCAUUAUAUAACAUGACAAUAGUGGUAUCUCGCUAGCCCUUUGAGACCCCAAAACAUAAAUGCAGAGCACCUCCAAAGUUCAAGCAGCGACUAAACAUUGUAAUUCAUGGUAGAAAAGAUCCAGUCAUGAUGCACCCAACAUUAGCUACACACAAUGCAUCAGCAUGACAGCAGCGCUCUCAGGUUCUGGCGCUUAUUUUAGAAGGUGAUGACACAACAUAAAAGUAAAUAGAAAGUCCCUUCGCAGAGGGAAGCAGUGAUUUGCAGCGGUGCCAGAGCUCAUGUUUUUAAAACAGAGGUAAAUGAUAUUUUGAGACAUGCACCCUUCUUGUUUACUUCACGACCAUCAGUUAUCAAUAUCUUCCAUGCUAAGCACGCUAGUGGCGGUUCCCAAGCGAUAAAUUAAAGGUUAUGAGUCCGUUGGAGUUUUUGUUUAAUUAUCUGAGAGAUCAAUUCUUUUUGCAGUUUGGGACUAGGCAUCCCUAUUACCGCCCUUUUCUCGUGCGAUGGUGAGUGAAUAAACACUCAUCCCGAGAAUAACCCGCUUAGCAUGGAAGAUACCGACUACCUCAUGUCGCUCCAUGAACGAUACAUGCACACAAAAAGGAUAUUUAUUUGAAGUUUUUAGAGAUGGCACAUACAAAUUUACUUACGACGGCAGGGUAAUACCGCAUAUAGGUAGGUAUGGUGGACUCAUCUGGAAUAACUUGGGUUCAAGGUUUUUGAUGUACAAGCAGAAUUCCCACUCAGUACAGGUGAAGGCUAGCAGUUAUGUUGAGAAACGGCCAGCAAGAGAGCAACAACGGUCAUGAACAUGCAUUAUGCAUAAGUAACAUUGGACACUAGCAUGAGUAGGAUAUGAACACCAUGAACAUAAAUAUCAUUGAGGCUAUGUUGGUUUUGAUUCAACUACAUGCAUGAACAUUCAGAGGAGGAUACCAUAUCAUCAUGCUACAUCACAAUCAUUUUAACGCAAUGUUGAUAUCCAAGAUAAAUCAUUAUCCACUCCUAACUACUUAUGCAUGACAUGAGAAACUAUAAUCUCUAAUUGUCAUUGCAAACAUGUUUAAUCAUAAUGGGCUGAAUCAUGGAUACUAGGUUAAACAUAUUUACAAAACAGAACAAGUCGAGUUCAUACCCGUUUCUCUCUGCCAUGACCAGUUCAUCAAAUAUCGUCAUUAUUGCCUUUCACUUGCACGACCGAACGAUGUGAAAAUAAUAAUAGUGCAAGAGUGCCGUGGACUAAGCUGGAAUCUGCAAACAUUUUAUUCAACAGGAGAAGACAAGGUAAUAUGGGCUCUUUGUUAGAUCAACAAUUAUGCAUAUGAGAGCCACUCAACAUUUUCAUCGUGGUCUUCUCCUCGGUACGACUCAAUAAAAAGAAAUUCGGAGAAACACACUGAAAUGUUUUUGGAAUUUUUGGUUUUCUUGAACAAACAAAUAAAAGGGAAAAACAAAAACAAGAAAAACUAUUUACACGGGAAAGCUCCCAACAAGCAAAAGAAGAACAAGGAAAUCUUUUCGGGUUUUCUUUUUAGUGCUACAGCUAACUACUCUAGAAAGAAAAUUUUAAAAGAUGCAAUAUUUUUGUAUUUUCUCAAGUUUUUCAAACACACAAGAAGAAAGCGAGAAAAUAAAUUUAACAUAGAUAAUACAAUGAAAAAGUGUGGACACUGACAACUGGAAUGAAAUGUGAACAUGCAUGCAAUGUCGGUGGAAAUAUGUACCCCCCCCCCCAAGCGUAGGCUUUUGGCCUAACUUGGUAAUCAGCCAGUAGUCGAAGAAACCAUGGGGUCCCAUGUCGAACUACUGAGGAGAGGGCACCUAUGGAUCCCACUACUGAGGCUCCUCCUCUAGUGCAGCCUGGUUGUUCCGGUAGGCGAUGAUAUCUGCAGGCAUAAUCCUGUAUCCACCCCUGGCACCAGGCAAUGGAAUAAUAUCACGAGUUCUCACACUGAAAAUCAGAUUAUACGGAAUAGGGAUGUUAGAGUAAUCGGCAGCAAUAAACUGGUGGUGUGCCAUGGCCGCGCGAUCUAGGUAGACCUUGGGCAAAGGAUAAUCAUGCAGGCGUAUCUCAACGUUAAAGCGAGCCGCCAAACGAGUAGCGUAAAUACCACCAUGUAUUUUACCCUUGAAUUUAUUAAUGUGAAGGCGAUGUGCCACAAUAGCUCCCAAGCUAUAAGUGUUGUCGCCUUCAAGUGCACGACGUAAAACAAGGUCUGGGGCACUAAGUGCACCCACCUUCUCUCUAGCAAGCAAGCAUUUUGCAAUGAAAAGAGUAAAAUAAUGAACAACAGGAAAAUGCAACCAGCGGCGGUGAUACUCGACACCCCUCUCUCAUCAUCCACUGUCAGAGUACGAUAAAAGCCUUCAAACUCCGUAGGCCUGGGCUCUACCAAACCACCAUCAGAAGGAAGCAAGCAUAUUUCACGGAACUUAGUAAGCGGUAUCUGAUGGGGUUCAACGUAUAAAUUAAACUGCACCUCAGGAGGAUUAUUCCUAAGAAGGAAAUUAAAACUUUUCACAAAGGAGUUUUGUGAGGAGAUGAUACUGUUCACAUUCAGCUGCGAUGAAGUCCGUGAGGCCGGCAUUAGCAGCAUAUUGUGCAAACUCUUAAAGGAUUCCGGCCCCUUCCACGAAUGGUGUAUGCGGCCAUUCGCACGGCCAUACUUCCGCCAAUAUCCGGGUAUGGAGAUCACUGUCAGACGACUCCCCAGUAACUCCCUUGGAGUUCUUCUUGGAAGCAAACUUCCUAAAGAUACUAAUCUUUUUCCUAUGAAAAAAAAUCUGAAAUUUUUAGUCCACAAAUUUUUCUCAACAAAACUUUACAAGAUUGAUAGCAACUACUCAUAGGGAUACCUAAAGGCCAUAGCAAGCAUUCAAACUACUUAGAACUCUAAGAAUUCAACAUGCAAGCUCAUCUACAGCAGCACCAAGAGUAGCUAAUUAUUCAAAAUAUAAACCACUAGAGCAAAAACUAAUUGGACAAACGGAGGAGUCACAUACCAAGCAACAAUCCCUCAAAACAGUUUCGGAAACGGAGCUUCAAGCAAAGAGAUCGAAAUCCGCGGGUUUGAGAGCAAGAACACGAGAGAGAGAGAGAGAGAGAGAGAGAGAGAGAGAGAGCAAUGGUGAUUUUUUUUCUAGAAGUAGGUGAUGAAGUGGUAUGAGAGAUAAGUGAGGGGGCCCACGUGGGGACCACAACCCACCAGGGUGCGCCUGGGGGUCCUGGCGCGCCCAGGUGGGUUGUGCCCACCUGGUGCACCUCCCUCUGAUGUUAUUUGCACCAGAAAUUCUUAAAUAUUCAGAAAGUAUUAAAUUUUCCGAGCAUCCUGAGAACUUUUAUUUUUGGGUCAUUUUUUAUUGCACGGGAAAUUCAGAAAACAGACAAAACAAUGCAUUUUAUUUUGUUUAACUAAUAAUAACAGAAAACAAAAGGUAGGGACAGAAGGUAGUGCUUACUAAAUUCAUCAACUUCAUACCUCUAAAAAUGAUCCAUUAAUAAGGUUGAUCAAGUCUUAUUAACAACCACUUUCGAUUAGCAUGAAACCGAAGAACUUUCGUAAAUCACUAAGUUACCUCAAGGAUAUGAAUGUCCCCUACAAUAAGCAUUUCAUAUUUCUUUUUGGCAGUAGGUAGAGGUAGUUGAAAACUUCCAAUAGUGAUUGUCGGAGAUAUUUCGAUAACAUUAAUACCAUCCACUUGGAGUUGUUUCUUCCGAAAGUGCACUGCAUGCUCAUUACCAUUGAUAUGAAAAGUGACCUUGCUUUUAUUGCAAUCAAUAACAGCCCCUGCAGUGUUCAAGAAGGGUCUACCAAGGAUAAUCGACAUGUUGUCGUCCUCGGGCAUCUCAAGUAUAACAAAGUCAGUCAAAAUAGUAACAUUAGCAACAACAACUGGCACAUCUUCACAAAUACCUCUACCACCUUAGGUGGUGAUGGUGUAUCAAGCCCAUGUAUUUCUUCAAUAGGAGGUAAAUUUUUUACAUCCUCAGCUUUAAUAUUUUUUUCCUUCAUAGAUUUCUUUGCCUCUUGCAUAUCUUCAGGGCUGAGAUAUAAUAUACCCCUCUUCUUCGGAGUGGGUUUAGGCGGUGAUUCAGGAAGAGUCCAAUCAUCAUAAUUUUUCAAUAUGUUAUUCAAUAAUUCUUCAGCUUGCCCAAUAGUUCGUUCCCUGAAAACACAACCAGCACAACUAUCUAGGAAAUCGCUAGGAGCAUCGAUAAGUCCAUUAUAGAAGAUAUCAAGUAUUUCAAUUUUCUUAAGAGGAUGAUCAGGCAAAGCAUUAAACAAUUGGAAAAGCCUCCCCCAAGCUUGUGGGAGACUCUCUUCUUCAAUUUGCACAAAGUUAAAUAUUUCUUGUAAGGCAGCUUGUUUCUUAUGAGCAGGGAAAUAUUUUUCAAAGAAGUAAUAAAUCAUAUCCUAGGGACUAUGCACACAACCAGGAGCAAGAGUGUUGUACCAAGCUUUAGCAUCACCCUUUAAUGAGAACGGAAAUAUUUUGAGAAUAUAGUAAUAGCGAGUUUUUUCAUCAUGAGUAAAAAGGGUGGCUAUGUCAUUCAACUUAGUAAGAUGUGCCACAACAUUUUCAGUUUCAUAACCAUGGAAAGGAUCAUAUUCAACCAAAGUAAUUAACUCUGGGUCGACAGAGAAUUCAUAAUCCUUAUCAUCAAUAAAGAUAGGUGAGGUAGCAAACUUAGGAUCAUAUUGCAUUCUAGCAUUCAAAGAUUUUUCUUUAUACUUGCAUAAUAAUUUCUCUAGAUUAUCUCUAUCCUUAAAAGCAAGAAUAUCUCUAGUUGUCUCCUCAUUCAUAACAUAACCUUCCAGUACUUUUGACAUUUCAUAUCUAGGAGGGCUAGUUCUAGUAGGUGUUUCAAGAUUUUCAGUUUCAAGAUCAUCAUCAGUUUCAACAAUAUCAUGUUGUCUUACUCUAGCAAUUUGUUCAUCAAGAAAUUCACCUAGUGGCACAUCAUCAUCAUCAAGCAAGGUACUAGCAUCAUCAUAAGUAUCAUUCAUAGCAGAAGUAGCAUCAUCAAUAACUUGCGACAUAUCAGGAUUGAUAGCAUGUGGUGCGAUUGCAAGUUUACUUAUAACAGAAGGUGAAUCUAAAGCAGAGCUAGAUGUCAGUUCCUUACCUCCCCUCGUCUUAGAGGGAUAAAUCUUAGUCUUAGCAUCCUUCAGAUUCUUCAUAGUGAUAAAUUGAUAAUAAUCCCAAGUGACUCAACAAAUAUAGCUAUGCUCCCCGGCAGCAGCGCCAGAAAAAGGUCUUGAUAACCCACAAGUAUAUGGGAUCGCAACAGUUUUCGAGGUUAGAGUAUUCAACCCAAAUUUAUAGAUUCGACACAAGGGGAGCCAAAGAAUACUUGCAAGUAUUAGCAGCUGAGUUGUCAAUUCAACCACACCUGGAGAUUAAUUAUCUGCAGCAACAUGAUCAGUAGCAAAGUAAUAUGAUAGUUUUGAUAAUAAUAGCGACAGCAAUAGUAACUGUAAUAGUGAUAGUAGUAGUUUUGUAGCAAGUGCAACAGUAACGAUAGCAGUAGUUACUUAGCAAGAAUAAUAUAAGAGAAAUUCAUAGGCAUUGGAUCGGUAAUUUGUUGGAUGAUAUUCAUCAUGUGAUAGUCAUAACCUAGGGCGAUACGGCACUAGCUCCAGUUCAUAAAUAUAAUGUAGGCAUGUAUUCCGUAAAUAGUCAUACGUGCUUAUGGAAAGAACUUGCAUGACAUCUUUUGUCCUACCCUCCCGUGGCAGCGGGGUCCAAUUGGAAACUAAGGGAUAUUAAGGCCUCCUUUUAGAACCGGAACAAAGCAUUAACACACAGUGAAUACAUGAACACUCCUCAAACUACGGUCAUCACCGGGAGUGGUCCCGACUAUUGUCACUCCGGGGUUGCCGGAUCAUAACACGUAGUAGGUGACUAUAACUUGCAAGAUCGGAUCUAGAACAUAGAUAUAAUGAUGAUAACAUAAACGCUUCAGAUCUGAAAUCAUGGCACCCGGGCCCAAAAUGACAAGCAUUAAGCAUGGCAAAGUCAUAGCAACAUCAAUCUCAGAACAUAGUGGAUACUAGGGAUCAGGCCCUAACAAAACUAACUAGAUUACAUGAUGAAUCUCAUCCAACUCCUCACCGACCAGCGAGCCUACGAAGGAAUUACUCACUCCCGGUGGGGGGGGCAUCAUGGAAUUGGCGAUGGAGAAGGGUUGGCGACGACGAAGAUCGAAGACCCCCCUCUCCGGAGCCCUAAACGGACUCCAGAUAUGGCCUCCCGAUGAAGAACAGGAGGUGACGGCAGCUCCGUCUCGUGGAACGCAAUAAUUCUUUCUCCUCGAUUUUUUCUGGAAAAAUGUGAUUUUAUAGCGUCAGUUUCAGGGUCUGCGGGGCCACCAGGUGGGGACAAACCAUCUGGGUGCGCCUGGGGGUGGGGGCAGGCGCGCCCUGGUGGGUUGUGCCCACCCAGGUGCCCCCCUCCGGUGGAUCUUGGCUUCAGAAAUUCUCUUUUAUUGUGUAAAAAAUCCUCGCAAAGUUUCGUUCCAUUCCGAGAACUUUUAUUUCUGCACAAAAACAACACCAUGGUAGUUCUGCUAAAAACAGCGUCAGUCCGGGGUUAGUUUCAUUAAAAUCAUGCAAAUUAGAGUCCAAAACAUGAGAAAAACAUUAGGAAAAGUAGAUACAUUGGAGACGUAUCAGGGACUCCUGAUGAUGCACUAAGAACGGGGGCCUUUAGUACCCCCAGACUUAUGCACGACAAUGACAGCACCCCCGGCAAGGGGGCUUGCUGGAAACCAGCCUGAGAUCAAGGCCGACAAGCUGUAAAGCAAAUUUCCAAAUCAAAGAAGCAACACUUUGAGAAAUCAAGAAGCGCAUCAAGAAGACCAAGAUUAAAAAACGGAACACUCAAAACAGCCCUUGCCGACAAGGCCGAGCCGGCAAGGCGAAGGCCCGGCAAGCUCCGUGGUUAGCAGGCCCCCGCCAACUGCCAGCGCUCCACCUCACCAAAUAGUUGUCGCUGCUCAUUGAGGUGUUGAGCCCGCGGGCGGUUAGGUGGAGCUUACCGGACACGUGUCAGCAUGCCGAAAGGAUUAUCACCUUUAUUGACACCCGUCCAAAUGGCGUAUCAAGAUAAUAGGAGUUAGAUAGGUAAGUGGUGCAAUAUCCUUGCCACGGCUUCUCCUCCUCAUGACACCUAACUAUGCAUUUAAUGCUUCUUGUCCUAACUAGCAGAUUUAGGUAUGAUAGCAUUGUUUGCUAUCUAAUCAUUAUGUAAUUAUUUUUUUGCCUCUGUGGUAACCCAUUUGAGCUAUAAAAGGAGGGCCAAGGCAAUCUUUACAAGGGUUCGAACCCAUUCAAACCCAAAGCACAUUUGCUCGUGUAGCUGCCUUCUCCUAGCACCUUGCCGGGGAAGAGCGCUCCGUGUACUUGUGCUCCACACAUUCUUAAUACACCAAAGCAGGAGUGGGGUGUUACACCUCAAAGGUGGCCCGAACCUUGGCAAAAUCAUUACGCCUUCUACUCUACCCGCUCUUUAUGUUUUGUGCAUUCCCCUCGCCAAACCACAAAGGGGCUAGAUCACCCCAUAGAUAGUCGAUCCACACCGACAUAAGGGCAAGGUAUGUGUGUGUUCAUAAGAUAAAUGUAUGUGCGUCGUGUAUGUAAGCCUGUGCUUCUGUACUGUGUUUAUAUGAGAGAAAAUUGCGCUGCCAUGAUUUUUUGCCUUUGGCCCCUUUCAUAGUCUGGAUUCGUUAGAGAGGCACCCCUUGCAGUCGUUCGAUGCUUUCGAGAGAGGAAAGUGACUCGAGCAAGAAGCGGACAAAAAAAUCUCGGCGAUGGCGGUGAUCGGCGGGCAAGCGAUGGUGACUGCAGCUGAGUCAAAGCAAAAGAUAGCAGUAGGCCCAGCGGUAGUGACUGCCGCCAGGAAUGAGUACCACGGUCAUCUUUGGCGACCGCGUCAAAUCAUUGGAGCUCAUUGCAUCGAUGGCUGGUCGUGCUCGGGAAUGGGUUCGUCGAAGGAGGAGGGGGAGCACCGGCUGGGCACCAUUGAUGCCGCUCAUGUGCACCUACAAUUCACUAUAAUCUGAUGGGGGAUGACAGUUUAUAUUGCUGCGAGCAUGUCAAUUUCCUUCAGCCGCGUGGGAAAUCUUUGUCAUGCUCAUUUGUUUGCCAAAAUUUGCCAUGUUUUCUCAACAAAAUAGCCAUGCUGACUACAACAUAAUUUAUCAUCUCAAGCAUUAAAUUUGUCAUGCUUAAAAAUCUGACGUCAAAUUUUUAACAUUCAUAUUGUUUUUUUUUUCAUCUCCUCAAAGCGUAUCGAUUCACAAACAAACACAUCGAUUCAUCGCGUGAACCAUCCGACAACUGCAUGAGAUCGAGCAGCAGGCUCGGGUACUUUUAUCUGAUUGAUCGAAGCAAGUGUUGUAUGCAGGCAAUUAAACGUUUAAAGGACACAUCUAGCCAGCGCACGGCCGCCUGGCAUACUUAGCGAGCGGCCCGCCACUUUAGGUAAUUUCUUGUCUCCUUUUUUAAUUAGAAUAGUCAUCUAGUAGUCUUUUUUCCUGCUACGUAUUAAAUGUGAGCAUAUGCAUCUCCUCUUGUGCAUGCAUAUGCAUGUGUGUGUUUGUUCUCAUUUAUUUUGUGAUUUUAAAAUUUUAAAAAGGCAUAACUUUCAAUCUGCGUGUCAAAAUUCGGAUCCGUUUUCACCGUUGAAACCCUUGCGACGUGCUCUUUAAAAGUAGAUCCCACAUGAAGAUGUUUCGACGAACUAGUCUUCCUGCCAACUAAACAUCAAUAUGUGUGCAACUAGACUACAUGCCGCGCCAAGUGAGCAUGUGUGUGUGCCAAUAGUCCUUCUGUCAACUAAACAUCGAUGUGUGUGCAACUAGACUACAUUACCGCGUCAACUGAGCAUAUGUGUGUGCCAAUAGUCCUGCCAACUAAACAUCAAUGUGUGUGCAACUAGACUACAUUGCCGUGCCAACUGAGCACAUAUGUGUGUAACUAGUCCUGCCAACUAAAUAUCAAUGUGUGUGCAACUAGUGUCCUGCCAACUAAACAUCAAUAUGUGUGCAACUAGACUAAAUUACAAGCCAACUGAGCAUAUGCGUAUGCAACCAGUCCUUCUGGCAACUAAACAUCAAUGUGUGUGCAACUAGACUAUAUUAUAAGCCAACUAAACAUCAAUAUGUGUACAACUAGACUAAAUUACAAGCCAACUGAUUUUAAAAAACUUGCACCAUGUAGUACUAAAGUUGCAUAAUGCAGUACUUUAAUUGCACCAUAUAGCACCAAAGUUGGCAUCAAAUUUUUUUUGUCAAAACAUAUCUAUGCGGGAUCUAGUUUCAAAGAUCUCGUCGCGAUGAAUUCAACGGUGAAAACGGAACUGAAUUCCGACGUGUGGUUUAAAAGAUAUGGCUUUAAAAGAAUUUGAAAUCCCGAAAUAAAUGUAUGUGGAUCUGUUUUCUCUAAGGCUAGUCAUAGUGGGAGUAACUUAGCUAGUAACAUAACGCACUCCAAGAAAUUUUUGCUUAUGUGGCAUGUACUUAAUGAGAAGUGGUAACAUAUAACAUAGCGCUUCCCAAGACAAGAUGAGUCUACAAGCUAAUUAAUGAAGUCCUACAUGACACUACUACUAUGUUACUUUGCACUACGAAAUUGCUAUGCGUACGAUGAAUUGUGUGUACGACUUUGUACGACUUGAUCUCACUCGUCCGGCCAGUUGAUCAAACGGCUGCUGAGGACUGUCGUGGGAAAAAUCGUAUAAAUUCGUCGUACGUGUAGCAGUUCUCUUUGCACUAUGAAGGUAGUAACUUAGACUAGUGUCAUAUGCAUGACACUAGUAUAAGUUACUCACCACUAUGACCAGCCUAACUCAUGAUACUAGUGUGAACACAUUCAAUGCCAGCAUCUACAUGCGCUACAAGACAAAAAUAAAUACACAUGCAUGUGUAUGGUAGAGCGGCCGUUGGCGUGCGUACGCACUUUUUAGAUUGAGAGAUGCUAUACACACGACAGUCUCGACACGAUUUUCGGACCAUCUCAUCAAGUCGUUCGUGGGUACUGCCGUCCAUGUAGUACUUUUCUUCUGCUAGUAGUACCUGUAGUGUCUGUGUUGUUUGCAUGCUAGCUGAUGUUGACGUGCGUCAGUGGUCCUGUUUGGAUACUCUAACUCGGUUAGAGGUUAGAGUUAGAUUUUAACCCUGAACUAACUUUGAACUAACUCUAACCAAAGAGAUGUUUGGAUGACAGGGUUAGAUUGAUAAUAAAUGCUCUUUCUUAAUCAUGACUACUUUAGGCGAGCCCCGACUGAGAGCUGUGCUGGUGGCAGACGGGGACGCGCCCGGCAAGGAGCCGCGCUGGCUUAUCACGCAGCCCGCCGGCCGAAUCCGCCGUCCCGACACAAGGAGCCGCGUUGGCCGAGGCCGACGGGGACGGGCCGCGCAAGGAGCCGCGACUGCUUACCGGCGGGCGGACGGGCUGCGGGGAGACGAGGGGGUUGGAACGGGAGGAUAGGGUGGGGCUGCUUAUCGGCGGCGGACGGGAGUGCGGAUACGGCAAGGCGCCUUCACGGGCAGUGCGAGAGGGAGGGAGGGAGAGGACGAGAAGCUUCGAGGAAGUGGGGAGGGAUCUGCUGCGAGAAGAGCGGGAGAAUUUUUUUUUAAUGGUCCCUAGGAGAACUAACCCAAAUAAGCACCUCUUGGAUGGGUUAAUUUUUUUAGAUGGGUUAGAUGCAUCUAACCCAAACUAACCCUUCCUAUUUGAAUGUUUUUGGGUUAGUUGAGUCCAAACUAACCCAAACUAACUCUAACUCUGGGAUUCAAACAGGGCCAGUGUCUAUUUAGAUCUAGGGUACAGCGGUCCCGAGCCAUGGCAUGAUUUUUUUAUGCAUCCGUCUGCCUAGCUUUCUUUGUAACAACAGUUCUAUUGCGUGAAAUAAAUGUCGAUUUGCUAAAUCGUAGUCGAGUAUAAUACAUAUUGUCACAAUACAAUAAUAUAAUCUUGAGAAAUUGUGUGCAGAAUCCCGUCAUAGUCUUGCUACAUCUUAGUAUUUUUUUUAAUACUUGCUACAUUUUAGUCGACUGAGGCAUGGUUAAGUCUUAGUCGAUGUAAUAUUUGUGAGAUUGUACAUCAAGAUCCGUGCAAUUUUUUCUUUUUUUUCUUGCAGGUUAUGUUAUUUGACUGUCAUCACCUGUUGCAAACUCCUGGGCAUGCAACCCCUCUGAAAAUACAAAAUACUUUGUACUAUGAACUUGCCACUAAUUAUCCAACAAGUUAAUACAUAUUGUCACAAUACAUUCAAAUACUUUGAAAGGUAAAGGAGAUAAUUGUAAGGAUUAUGAGUAGCACGAUAAUAUAAUCAAGAGAAAUUGUGUGCAGAACCCCGCCAUAGUCUUGCUACUCAGACUUGAGAUCGUACAUCGAGUUCCGCGCAAUUUUUUCUUUGGUUUUUUUCUUUCCUACAGGUUAUGUCACUUGACUGCCGUGAGAGACCUAUCCACACCUUUUGCAAACUCCUGGGCAUGCAACCGCGUUGAAUAAUACAAAAUACUUUGUACUAUGAACUUGCCACUAAUUAUCUAACAAGAUAAUGCUAUUUUGGGACUAUUUGUUGAGAUUAUGACAAUGUUUAGAUCAAGUUCAAUCUGUUGUCUAAUUUUUCACAAAAAAUUGAACUCUGACACCCUCGUGUUGAGAUCCUAGGCCCGUAGCGGCUCAUAGGCGGCCACUUCCCUUCCCGUUCCCUCGUUGUGUGAGUGAAGAACACACUAGGCAGCAAUUUCCCGAAGUCUACAGGCUCAUGGCGGAUGAACAUGCUCUGUCCCAGCGUGUCCUAGUUGAGCACUUGAGAGCUCUGAUGACAUUAAGCCAAUCAGUUCUCAAGAUGGCAGGCAUCCUAAACCCAUUCUGAUGCAAGUUUUGAGUACUUGGCAACGGGCCGAUCCUCCAGCUCGCUAAGGAUCAGCAACACGUCGUAUUCAACACCAGAGGACAAUCCAUUUCCGUCGGUGAUGAUAACUAGAUGGUAUCCCGCGCGUUGCUGCGGGAAUUUUGUAGCAAUGUGGACAUACCGUGGGAUAAUUCAGUCGCUAAGAGCAACUCCAAAGGGCCGACCCAUUUCGUCCGCCUGCGUCCGUUUGGGUCGGCGCGGACAAAAGUGGCGGCCCAACGCGCCGACCCAAACCCAAAUCACGUCCGCGUCGCGUCCGCGCCGAUGCAUUUGCGGCCCAAAUUUGCGCCCCAAGUGCGUCGGCGCGGACGCCGAACGGACGCUUCGCACGCCUUCUCGCUAUCCGCUGCGUCCCCACAUGGUGGCCGUCCAACUACCCGCUGCCCACGCGGUCAGCUUAAUUUAUGACGAGGGCCCACGCGUGAGCGACGGCGCUCGUCCUUUUUUAAGCCGACCGUGCGGCGGGGCCGUCCUCAUCCAAACUCGCCGUCCACAUCUGCCAUCCUUUGCUCCCUCGUCGCCGGCAAACCCUAACCACCACAACCACAGCGAGAUGGGCCUCUUCUCCGGCGCCCGCGGCAGCAAGGCCAAGGGCAAGUCCCCCGCCAUCCCUUUCCCCUCAGAGUUCCUCCCACCUCCGCCGGCGUCGGUGCCUCGCCGGCAGAGGCAGCGCGUGAACGUGCCAGUGCACCAGGCGGAGUGGCACUGGCAGCACCGCCAGCCUCUGCCGUAUCCCGAUGUGACGCUGCCGCACGACUGGCAUCUGGAUCCAGAUAGGAUCCCAGUGCUGGCGGUGCCGCGGACGGCUCGUGCUCACGCGGAGGAGGUGCGGCGCCGGCGGGCGCUGCUGACGCCGGAGCAGCGCCGCGACCAGGCCUACACAACCGACUCGCCCAACUGGGCGAGGUGGUUCGCCUUCGAACACGAGGAGGCAAGGCGACGGGGCGUGCGCGAGGUCGACCGGAGGUCGCCGCCACCGGCGCUCGUCGUCCGCGAGGAGGACCAGGCGGCCCUUGCGACCGUCUACCGGGAGAGCGAGGAGGACGAGCGGCGCAGAGCGGAGGCGGCAGAGGCGGAAGAGGAGGCUCGGUACAUGGUGUUGGAAAUAUGCCCUAGAGGCAAUAAUAAAUAGGUUAUUAUUAUAUUUCCUUGUUCAUGAUAAUUGUUUAUUAUCCAUGCUAGAAUUGUAUUGAUAGGAAACUCAGAUACAUGUGUGGAUACAUAGACAACACCAUGUCCCUAGUAAGCCUCUAGUUGACUAGCUCGUUGAUCAAUAGAUGAUUGCGGUUUCCUGACCAUGGACAUUGGAUGUCGUUGAUAACGGGAUCACAUCAUUAGGAGAAUGAUGUGAUGGACAAGACCCAAUCCUAAGCCCUGGCGCCUCCCUCUCCUUCCCGUGACACCUCUUCCUCCCCGCUUGCGCUCGGCGAAGCCCUGCCGGGAUCCCGCUACUUCCACCACCACGCCGUCGUGCUGCUGGAUCUCCAUCAACCUCUCCUCCCCCCUUGCUGGAUCAAGAAGGAGGAGACGUCGCUGCUCCGUACGUGUGUUGAACGCGGAGGUGCCGUCCGUUCGGCGCUAGGAUCAUCGGUGAUUUGGAUCACCACGAGUACGACUCCAUCAACCCCGUUCUCUUGAACGCUUCCGCUCGCGAUCUACAAGGGUAUGUAGAUGCACUCCCCUUCCCCUCGUUGCUAGAUUACUCCAUAGAUUGAUCUUGGUGAUGCGUAGAAAAUUUUGAAUUUCCGCUACGUUCCCCAACACAUGGUGCCGCCGGUGGCUCCGCCGUCCCCCAUCAAGCCGGAGCCCGAGCCCAUCGCGCGCUUCUCCUGGACGGGAGUGGUGCGCGAGUGGGUGUCCGCGCCACCAGUUUGGAUGGGGGCGACGCCGGCGCAGGAGCAGGCGUACCUCGAGAUGUGGCGCCAGCGCCGGCUGGCAGAGGAGCGCCGUCGCGGCGAGUACGAGGAGAUGCUCGAGCGCGACCUCGAGGAGGAGCAGCGCGAGGCCGAGGAGGAGGCGCGCCAGGCCGCGGCUGCACAGGCNNNNNNNNNNNNNNNNNNNNNNNNNNNNNNNNNNNNNNNNNNNNNNNNNNNNNNNNNNNNNNNNNNNNNNNNNNNNNNNNNNNNNNNNNNNNNNNNNNNNNNNNNNNNNNNNNNNNNNNNNNNNNNNNNNNNNNNNNNNNNNNNNNNNNNNNNNNNNNNNNNNNNNNNNNNNNNNNNNNNNNNNNNNNNNNNNNNNNNNNNNNNNNNNNNNNNNNNNNNNNNNNNNNNNNNNNNNNNNNNNNNNNNNNNNNNNNNNNNNNNNNNNNNNNNNNNNNNNNNNNNNNNNNNNNNNNNNNNNNNNNNNNNNNNNNNNNNNCCAACAUGACGGCGCUCUGGAACACGGCGUUCGCCUGGGCCGGGCCGGCGCCGACGCUCAUCGACCUCACGGACCCCGAGGACGACGACGACGACGCCUAGGGCAGCGCGCCACCUCGUAGUUUAGGCUGUUUUUUAUUUUUUUAAAUGCAAAUGUGGACGCGUGGACUCUCGCCGGCCUUCGUGGCCGGCUUUAAUGUUUAAUUAAUGUUGUUUCUCUUUUUUUAUUAUGCAUGCGUUCAUUUUUUUUACGCCGUCAAAAUGGGUUCAGGCCAGCGUUGGGCGCACGCGCCGACCCAAAUGCGGAAGCGGGCGUCCGUGUCCGUCUGGCCGACCCAAACGGACAAAAAGCGGACGAAAUCGCCGUUUAUUUGGGUCGGCCCGUUGGAGUUGCUCUAACAGCGUAACAAAUACAAAAAGACAGAUCAAAGUGAUUACCCUAUAGAUAGGAACAACAUAUUACGGAUUUGGUAUGCCACAGUUGCAAGUAGAAACUAACCAAAUAGUACUAAUGAGUCUUUUCUAGAUUACAAACAAAUGCAGCCACAUUACUGAUAACCAUUCUAAAUUUAGGCAACAUAAUUACUACUUUUAGGUGGAAGUCAUAGUCUAGUUUGUAAAAAGCUACAUGCAUGGUUAACGUUGUACCAUGUGAGGUCGUCUCAUAAGGAAAUUCUAAAAGAAAUAAAAGAGAACACUUCAACUUGUAUAUGUGAGCUGCAUAUGAAACAUUCAGAUAGGUCCAUAACAUCAUGCCUCUAUAAUAAGAGAAAGAAAUGUGGACAAAAAGUAGGUUGAUGAAUAUGAGCAGAAAAUGUUUUUUUUUCUAUUUUGCUGCUGUCAAAAGAUAUAACAUCCAUUACUUUUUACCCUCAUAAUGUAACUAAAAAUAGAUGUGUGAACUGAUUUGACAGAAUCUGUAGAUAUAAAAUCACAUGAAUCAGAAACAAAGGCCCAGUAUACAAUCUUGUAUAGGUAGCCCAGACUCAAGGGCCGUGACCCUCUACUUCUUUCUCUCCAUACAGAAAAGAAAUACUGUUCGGCUCAUUCUCUCUCUCUUGUAUGACAUUGAACAAAUACAUCCAUUCUUUCAUGUGCGUGGGUGUGCAUACAUGAUGCUCAUUCUCGAUAUGUCAUUGGCAUCCAAAUUUGACGAACGGACAGUGUUGCGCCAGACAGUUGCACAUGCCAACGUGGAUCUGCCCUCUAAUCACUUGUACAAACAUUCUAAACUCUGUCUAGCUAGGAGCCCAGGACAACAAACAAAGAACUGAGGGAAGAAGUUCCAGAGAGAGGAGCAGGAAGGAGAAGACAUGGUCGCUGUGAGGAGGGCAGUUUCCAUCCACUGCUGGGGUGGGAUUGAUGGUGGGCAUCAGAUCCAGCCUGUCUACAGAUUCGAACUCGCGACCAUCGCCUUCGUGAAUGGGUACUCCUAACCACGCUACCUGUCUCCUACAUGUGAUCAAAGCCAACCGCAGAGGCUAUAUGAACACACAAAACCGAAGCUUUUUUUAAUACGCCGAAAUUUUUGAAUGUUUACAAAGUUUAGAAUGUUUCACUGAAAAUUGUGAACAUUUUUUACAAUACAGAAUUUCUUUUAGGUUCUGUGAACAAUUUUUGAAAAAGAAACAUUUUACAAAAUUCCAAAAUAAAAUUUGAAAAGGCGAACAGUUUUUGAAAUCUAUGAAUUGUUUUUCAUACACAAAUAUUUUUUGAAUCUGUGGACCUUUUAAAUGAGAGAAUUUUAGAAAAUAUGAAUAAUCUUCAAAAAUUUGGAGCACAUUUUGAAUAUGUUGAGCAUUUUUUAAAUUUAUGAAUUUUCAAAACGAAACAGAAAAUAAAAAAGGAAACAAAAGAGCAAAAAAUAGUAACCAAACGAAAACCAAAAUAAAUAAGAAAAAAAGUUUAGGAACCUUCUAGAAGGCUCACAAAACCAGCCAGGAACCUUCCAGAAGAUUCACAAUACCAGUUGCUCAAAUAAUCAGAUGGGCCUGCCCAUUAUGCGAUUGCCCGACUAUUUACCGCGGCAGGCGGUAAAUAGGAAAUUCUGUAUCUUAGGGAAGUAGCGUCAAAUAGACUGUGCCACGCAUAGGAGGCCGCCCGACUGGAACGACUCAUUGUCGCGCCCUAGAACAAGAAAAAUCAUCGAAAAAAGAACGACAAUACAGAAUUUCUUUUAGGUUCUGUGAACAAUUUUUGAAAAAGAAACAUUUUACAAAAUUCCAAAAUAAAAUUUGAAAAGGCGAACAGUUUUUGAAAUCUAUGAAUUGUUUUUCAUACACAAAUAUUUUUUGAAUCUGUGGACCUUUUAAAUGAGAGAAUUUUAGAAAAUAUGAAUAAUCUUCAAAAAUUUGGAGCACAUUUUGAAUAUGUUGAGCAUUUUUUAAAUUUAUGAAUUUUCAAAACGAAACAGAAAAUAAAAAAGGAAACAAAAGAGCAAAAAAUAGUAACCAAACGAAAACCAAAAUAAAUAAGAAAAAAGUUUAGGAACCUUCUAGAAGGCUCACAAAACCAGCCAGGAACCUUCCAGAAGAUUCACAAUACCGGUUGCUCAAAUAAUCAGAUGGGCCUGCCCAUUAUGCGAUUGCCCGACUAUUUACCGCGGCAGGCGGUAAAUAGGAAAUUCUGUAUCUUAGGGAAGUAGCGUCAAAUAGACUGUGCCACGCAUAGGAGGCCGCCCGACUGGAACGACUCAUUGUCGCGCCCUAGAACAAGAAAAAUCAUCGAAAAAAGAACGACAAUGCGAGGUAUCGAACGUUGUAACUUCCGCUGCUAACCACUCACCGCUAGCCACACGAGCUGAUGGGCUUCAAUAUCUUACUAGGAAACACGAACUAUAACUACUAUGCAUCAGCGCCCGGUUUACUGUAGCGACCCAGUAUUUUUUCCCACUAUUUCUUUUCAUUUUUUUCUAUUCACUAUUUGUUUCUUUUUCAUAUUUUCAUUUUUCCUUUUUUGUUUCUUCUUCCUUUUCAACAAAUGCUCGUGCGUUUAAAAUUUGAUCAAGAUUUCAAAAAAUGUUUGUUUUUAAAAACAUAAAGUACAAAUAUUCACAUUUUAUAAAGUUGUACAAAACUUUCAAAAAAAAUGUUUGUGUCUUUCAAAAUUGCUUAGAAUUCUAAAAUAAGAACAUUAUUUAAAAAGAGCGAACAAAAUUUUGAAAGCACGUUGUUUUUCGGCAUUCCUCAACUGAGCCCAAUUUUUCAAUGACUUCUAUGACCAAUUCAAGACACCAUGCCAAGUUGUUUCGGUUUUCAACAAAUUUUGCAUUUUCUGGAGUUUACUCGGGGAAAAUGGCGGGACGUGUCGCAACUUGCAUACGACGAUGAAAAUUGUUCCAACCUGGCAUGGGUGCCUAUCAUGGGCAUGCCAACCCGCUCCCAAAAGUUGGGGUCAUUUGAGGAAUGUUCAAAAAUAGAUCACGUUCAACGGAGGGUGUACAGAUAGGACAGAAUACUCCUCUAAGAGCAUGUUGUUUCUUGAUAUCCUUGAAAUGGCCCCAAUUAUUUUCAUGGCCUUGUAUGACUAAUUCAAAGCACCAUGCCAAGUUAUUUGCGUUUUCGACAAGUUUUCCCAUUUUCUGGAGUUUUCUCGGCAAAAAAAGAUUGAUAAAUGGCCGGACAUGUCGUAACGUGCAUACGAUGUGGGAAGUCAUUUAAAUCUGGCAUGGAUGCCUUCCAUGGCCAUGCCCACUUGGUGACAAAACUUGGGAUAAUUUUUAAGGAUGUAAAAAAACACGAUGUUCAAUGUAUAAUGUCCGAAUAGGCUAGAAGGCUCCAUUUGAGAGCACUUUUUUUUUCUGACAUCCGUCAAAUAGCCCUAAGUUUUGACAAGUUUUGUAUUUUCUGGAGUUUUCUCGGUUAGAAAAAGGCUGAUAAAUGGUCGAACAUGUUGCAAUGUGUAUACGGUGCCGGAAGUCAUUCAAAUCAGGCAUGUAUGCCUAACAUGUGCAUCCCCACCUGCUUGCAAACGAUGGGAUCCGAACUAGGUUUCCAAAAAAACACCAUGUUCAACGGAGAGUGUUCAGGUCUGUUUGGGAAGACCUAGUUUCUCGACAUUCCUUAAAGGUCUUCAAUUUUUUUUCAUGGCCUUGUAUGACCAAUUUAAUGCACCAAGCCCAAGUUAUUUGAGUUUUCGACAAAUUUUACAUUUUCUUGGUUAAAAAAUACCGAUAAAUUGUAGACAUGUCGCAACUUGCAUACGGUGUUGAAAGUCGUUCAAGCAUGAAAUGCCUACCAUGGGCAUGCUCACCUGCUAGCAAAAGUCGGGGUGAUUUCAAGCAUGUCUUUCCUGGGACCGUGAGAUCUUGAAGGGACCAAAACGAAGAAUUAAUAAAUUAAAAACAGAGUUAGAGAAAUUGAAACGUGGCCCUAUGAAUACAGAUUCCCUUUCUAGGCAGAAAGAAAUUGUAGUUCUCAUUGAGAAUCUGUUGGAUCAGGAAGAGAUUUUUUGGUUACAAAGAGGUAGAGCAAAUUGGUUGAUGCACGGAGACCGAAAUACUUCCUUCUUCCAUAAUGCAGCUACUGCUAGGAAAAAGAGAAAUGAUAUUAAAAAACUUCUCGAUGAUACUGGGGUUUGGCGACAAGAUACGGAAUUGAAGGAUCAUAUCACAUAAUAUUUUUAAAAGCUUUUUACCUCAUAGAUCGAGCAACCUAAUCAGGAUGUGUUAUCACUGGUAAAGAGGAGAGUAUCUACUGAGAUGAACAAUGCCCUCCUUUCUCCGUAUACGGCUGAUGAUGUUCGUAAAGCCUUGUUCGACAUUGGGGAUUUGAAAGCCCCAGGGCCCGAUGGGCUCCAUGCUAUUUUCUAUAAAAGGUUUUGGCCAAUGUUAGGAGAUGAUCUGAUCGAGGAGGUUUUGAAAGCAGUAAACACUUGUACUAUCCCAUCUGGUUGGAAUGAUACUGCGAUUGUGAUGAUACCAAAAGUCAACUCUCCGGAGAAGGUAACCCAGUUUAGACCAAUUAGUCUGUGCAAUGUGGUGUAUAAAAUUAUUGCAAAAAUGAUUGCCUCUCACCUAAAGGUGUUCCUACCAGAUAUUAUUAGCCCAACCCAAAGCGCGUUUGUGCCUGGAAGACUUAUUACGGACAACGUAUUGGUGGCAUACGAAUGCUUCCACACCAUCAAGAAAAAGAGAGCAGGCAAAGAAGGAUUAUGUGCGAUAAAAUUGGAUAUGCAUAAAGCUUAUGACCGGGUUGAAUGGCCUUUUCUCAAGAGAUUAUGCUCAAACUUGGAUUUCUUGAGGUGUGGGUAAAUUUUAUCAUGGAGUGAGUUUCUACUGUUGAAUAUCAUAUUCGGUUUAAUGCGGAGGAAAGUGAAAGUUUUAAACCUACUAGGGGUCUGAAGCAAGGAGACCCGCUGUCUCCUUACUUGUUCCUGUUAUGCACGGAGGGUCUCACAGCUUUACUAACGCAUGCGGAAGAAAAUGAGAAUAUUUCAGGAGUAAAGAUUUGCAGAGAUGCCCCAUCUGUCACGAACCUUCUUUUUGCUGAUGACUCUUUAAUCCUUAUGAAAGCAAAUUUGCAAAGUGCGGAAACAUUAAAAUCAGUUCUAGAUUCGUAUUGCGCAGCUUCAGGGCAGAUGGUCAGUGUCGACAAAUCCAGCAUCUUCUUUAGCCCUAAUAUAGGAGUGGACACUAGAGAACAAAUGUGUACAAUUCUCAAUAUAAUGACUGAGGCCUUGAAUGACAAAUAUUUAGGACUGCCGGCCAAUGUGGGUUUAGAUAAAACCGAUUGUUUUCAAUACUUAAUCCAUCGUAUUGUUCAGAGAAUUAGUGGUUGGAAGGAAAAACACAUGUCGGCUGGAGGAAAGGAGAUCUUACUUAAAGCGGUUGUUCAAGCUAUUCCCACCUAUGCAAUGUCGGUCUUUAAAAUUCCUAAAAAAAAUUACAAAGGAAUUAUUGACGCGAUGGCGCAUUUCUGGUGGGGAGAUGAGGAUAACCAAAGGAGGAUGCAUUGGAUGGCUUGGUGGAAAAUGUGUGUACCCAAGAACCAAGGAGGAAUGGGUUUUCGGGAUAUCCAUUGUUUCAAUUUGGCUAUGCUUGCUAAACAGGCUUGGCGUCUUAUCGAGAAUCCAGAUUCUCUAUGUGCUACUAUUUUGAGAGUCAAAUACUAUCCUGACGGUGACUUGUUGAACACUGACCUGAAGAAGGGUUCUUCCUUCACCUGGCAAAGUAUUAUGUUGGGUGUGGGCUCCCUGAAGCGUGGUCAUAUAUGGCGAGUGGGAAAUGGGCAGAAUAUUGACAUUUGGGAGGACGCCUGGAUUCCAAAUUGUGCAAACCGUAAAAUUGUUACCCCUAAGGGAGGCCAGUUGUUAAGGAAGGUAGCAGAUUUAAUUGAUCCAAUCCUAAAUAGUUGGGAUGAAGAUCUUCUCAGACAGACUCUAUGGCCUAUUGAUGUUCAGCGAGUGCUUGCGAUCCCGAUAUCGCAACAUGAUAUGCCAGAUUUCGUAGCUUGGAAUUUCACAAAAAAUGGGAUCUUUUCGGUUCGGUUUGCUUAUUUUGUGGAAUGGGACCACCAAUAUGGGAACAAGUUACGACAUACCAAUGGGAUGGGACGUACCAAGGUCAAUCCUAUUUGGGCUAGGAUUUGGAAACUUGCUUGUCCAGCAAAGGUUAAAAUAUUUAUUUGGCGUACACUUCACAGCACUCUUCCGUGUCGUGUUAACUUAGCUAAUAGACAUGUGAAAGUCUCGCCUGAGUGUCCUGCCUGCUCAUCUGGGCCAGAAGACAUAAAACAUCUGUUGUUUCUAUGUGAUAGAGCAAAAGAAGUCUGGGGAAGACUAGGGAUGGACGAUAUUAUCGACAGAGCUUGUAAAAUAGACUAUGCGGGUGAGGCAAUCUUGGAAUAUUUACUUUCAUUAACAGAUCAGGAACUAUGUAUUAUGAGCACUCGUAAUGUGCGUGAUAUGAUUGCCAUAUCAGCCUCGUACUUGUGGUGGGAAAGGCGCAAAUUGGUACACAAUGAGACUACUCAGAAUGCACAACAGAUAUCCAUGGGGAUACGCGCUCUCACUGCCAAUUUUGUUAAUGCCUCCUCGCCGAAGGCUUCCAUGAAAAGAGGAGGAUGGUCUAGCCCCCCGAUGGGAUUUGUUAAACUUAACAUUGAUGCUUCUUUUGACCACGACCUUCUCAGGGGUACGAUCGGGGCGGUCUUAUGAGAUGACAAAGGUAGGUUCAUCGGUGGGCGAAAUGGUAAGAUUGACUGGUGUGCAGAUGUGUUGAUGGCUGAAGCUUUGGCGUUAAAGUUUGGCCUAUCGCUUGCGCAAAGGACGGGUUGUAACCGCAUAAUUAUUAACUCGGAUAAUAUGGAGGUGAUCGAGACCAUGAACAAAGGAGGAUGAUCGUCGGGGGCAGCAGCUGCAAUUUUUUAUGACUGUUUUCACUUAGCUUGCGAUUUUCCUAUUUCUAGAUUCGAGCAUUGUAAUAGAGAAGCAAAUAAUGUUGCUCAUGAACUUGCCAAGUUGGCUAGAUUUUCCUUCAUUUCUGAUUGGCUUGAGGAACCACAUAAUGCAAUUGUACCAAUCCUCAUAAACGAUGUAAUGAUUAUUUCUAAUGAAUGAAGCUCGAACUUUCUUAAAAAAUAGUAUUUGGAUAGACCAAAAGGGUCCAUUUGAAAGCAAGCUGGGUUUCGACAUCCGUCGAAUGGCCCCAAUUUUUUUCCACCAGCUUCUGUAACCAAUUCAAGACAUCAUGUCAAGUUGUUUGGAUUUUUGACAAGUUUUGUAUUUUCUGGAGUUUUCUCGAUCAAAAAGGACCGAUAAAUGGUCAGACGUGUCACAUCCAAACCAGACAUGGAUGCCUCAUAUGUCCGUGCCAGGGUAAUGCAAGAAGUUUGGGUCAUUUAUCCAUAGUCCAAAAAACCCUCCAGGUCGGGUGCAUCCAUGAGCAUGUAGUUUUUUUUUCCUAAUUUUAAUGCUUUUGUUGUUUGCAAUUUCUAUCAUUAUCAAUAACUAAAUGUAUAUGGAAAUUUUACAAAGUUGAACACUUAGUCCAAAACAAAUUAUGAAUAAUGAUAGUUUUUUUAAUCUAGAGAAUCCUUUAAAAUUGUAAACAAUAUUUGAAAAUAAGAACAAUCGUUUGGUAUUCCAAUCUUUUUUCAAAAGUUUGAACAAGUUUUGAAAAUAAUAAUAAUGUUAAAAAAGGAGAAAAAUGAAUUAACAAAAAAACAAAAAUUAGAAAAGAAAAAAAAUAUUAAGCCUUGGCCCAACUAGGCGACGACAUCACUCCCGUUGGGCACGUGUUGGGCGGAAAUCCUAUUUGACAUUGUUGCGUUGAACAGUGGUUGUUUCUCAUAGACCCGAACGAGUGAACAUGGGUCAACCCAUUUCAAUCUGAUUGUUGCCUCUACAGAUGCGGGUUUUGGGAACCUUCUAGAUGGUUCCAGGUCGGUGUUUACCGGUUUCGAUACCUUCUAGAAGGUUCAUGAAUCCCUUUUUUGUCUUUCUUUUUUCUUAUUUUCUUUUUCAAAAUUGCAAGGUUUAAAAAAUGUUACAUAUUUAUUUAAUUUCAUAUUUCUCAAAACACGUUUUCAGUAAAGUUUGGAGUUUCAAAAAAAUGUGUUUUGAAAAGUUGUUUAGAAUUUAUUUAUUUUUCUCAAUUUUCAUUUUUUUAGAGUUUCAAAAUGUAUUCCACAUCUCAAAAAAAUGUUUGCAUUUGUUUCACACUUAAAAAAGUCACAUUCAAAAUUCCUAUAAACGCUUAAAUUUGUUCGCGUUUAAAAAAAGUCUCGUUCAAAAUUUCUAAAAGUGUUUAAAUCUGUCGCUGUUCAUACUACCUUCGUUCGGGAUUUGAAGGCCAGCGAGCCCAAGCGACGCCUCGUAGAGAAAGCCUCGCCUUUCCUGAGUGGCCUAACUAACCGGACGGAGGCAAUAGUUCUUAACAAACCGCGCUGCAAAUUAUGCAAGAUAGCUUGCUUGGUCUAGCGGUUCAUUGCGUUACCUGAGAGCAGUAGGUCAUGUGUUCGAGACUUGUUUUUGGAUUUUCCAUUGUUUCAUCUUUACAGAUACUGUUCACUAGUGGGCCGGCCCAGUUGACCUCACAUGUACGCUGGGCCGUGUACGGGCAGUACAUACCUGACGCGCGUAUACCGCUAAAAAAAUAUGAUGCGUAUCGGCGCGGGCGAUACUUGUUGCAAAAAGACUAUCCUACCAUUUAUUAUGAAAGAGGUAUCGAGAGAUCUCCUCCAUUAAUGUAUUCAGAGGUUGUAUCAAAGCAGAAGUGAAAUAUGAAUAGCUGGCAUGAUCUUCAUUCCCCGCCAAUCAGGGCAUGUACAUUAGCUUAGACACCCUAGUCUGUAAUAAUCAUCCACGUCACAUAUAGAUAGCAGUCAAAACAUCAUCUACAUCGGUAUGUCUUUUUGCUAUCUGUAGCAUGUUUGGACGUGGGCAGGUCGUUGCAUGUGAGCCACCGUGUUCGUGCACUCACUACUAGAAAAAGGGUUAUAAAUGAAAUGGCCACUAAUGGCGCACCAAACUGUGGUGCGCCACUACUAUAUAGCAGUGGCGCAUCAUGUGCUGGUGCGCUAUUAGUGUGAAAGACACACGGUGCGCCACUAGUAACAAUUUUUUUUUCCAAACAUACUAAUGGCGCACCAGGGCACAGUGCGCGCCACUACUAUAAUUUUUUUUUCAAAACUAUUAAUGACCAGGGUUACUAAUGGCGCAUUUGUAGGUGGUGCGACAUUAGUAACCUGGGACCAACUAGAUAUUUUGGACAGCCACACCUACCCACUCACUUUUCCCACUUCAUUCUCUCCAUCUCCUCCUCCAAGCUUGUCUCGGCUGCCUCCUCCUCCUCACCUCAUUUGCACCAUAAAUUCAUCCAAAUUAAGUGGUUAAAUUACCUUUUUUUGAUAGGUAAGUAAGGGGAAGCUAUCUUUACGUUGUUCUCCCUCCAACAACGUGCACACGCACUUUUUAUGGCCUAGCUAGAUCUAUGUAUGUUCGUGGUGUUGCAUAUAUGUUUGUGUUUGCAGGUACCGGUAUUUGAAAUGCGAUAGUUGCCAAUAUUUUGCCGGAAUGUUGAUUCAUUUCCGUUUCGGCGAGAAUUUUGGCACUAUGCAUUCUUUUUUGUCCUAUUUUUAGGGAAAGUCAUGCCAAAUUUUUUCUUGGUUCUAAAAUAUCGUUUUGCUCUACCCCGCAGGCGACCAUGGUCCGCACGAUGACCGAAGGCAUCGUGAAUAGGUUUUUGAGCUCCGCGAAGGCCGAGAUGCUUGAAAAGAACGAGACGGAGAUAAGAUGUCCGUGUCGAAGAUGCAAGCUGAAGAGCCUUAUUGCGGACCCGGAUUCCGGGCAGAUGCGGGACCACCUGCUCUUGCGUGGUUUCAUGGAUGGCUAUCGGUGGCAAGGUGAUGAAGAUGACUAUGAAGUCGUCCAUGGGGGCUGGGCAAGAAAUGAGGAAGGGCAGCAAGACAACCACCGCGGCUCGGGCGGGCAAGAAGACGAAGAAUCUCCAGGACAUGAUCACGACGGUGAUGCUGUACACAGUCAUCAUGUAGAAGAUGCCGGACAUGAUGAUGAGGAAGAUGCCGGAGCAGACGAAGGGCAUGAUCAUGAAGAUGAAGAUGCCGGCGGAGCAGACGACGAUGGACCAUCGAUGGGCUGGGUGCAGGACCCUCAUAUUCAAGAGCUACUUCUCAAGCAGACGGAUAACGCAAGAGCUGCCGCCCGAGAGAAAGCCAAGCUAGAUCAACUGGAGAUAGACGCGGUUACUCCAUUGUAUGAAGGAUGCAGGCCCAAGGAUACCCGCCUGAAAGUAACGCUCAUGGCUCUGGAGAUGAAGGUAAAACACAAAAUGACCGACGCAUGCUUCGACGAGAACAUGUCAUUGUAGCACGAACGUCUUCCCAAGGGGAACAAGUGCCCGACCAGUUUCGAGGAGGCGAAGAAAAUUGUGUGUCCUCUGGAUUUACCGCACGUGAAAUACCAUGUGUGCAUGAACAAUUGCAUCAUUUAUCGGGACGAGCACGCGGAGUCUACCAUAUGUCCGGUGUGCGGCGUCACUCGAUACAAGAAGAGGAAGAAAGCUCCUCGAAAAGUGGUGUGGUACUUUCCGAUCACUCCUCGUCUGCAGCGGUAUUUCGCGGACCCUAAGGUAGCAAAGCUCCUGCGUUGGCACGCGGAUAGGGAGGAGAAGAAGCGAGAAGAUGACGCAAAUGAUCCGGAGAUAAAUAAAAAAGACAAGAUGUUGAGUCACCCUGGCAAGCGUUGAACUUCGAACACCCAGAAUUUGGGAAGGAUCCAAGGAACAUCGUGCUGGGCGCGAGCAGUGAUGGAGUCAAUCCGUUUGGUAGCCAGAGAAGCACACAUAGCACCUGGCUUGUGUUUGUGUGGAUGUACAACCUUUCCCCCUCGUUGUGCAUGAAGAGGAAGUACAUUCACAUGAGUAUGCUAAUUGAAGGGCCGAAACAACCAGGGAACGACAUCAAUCUGUAUCUGGGGCUGCUGAAAGAGGAGCUAGACACGCUGUGGAAAACGCCAGCCAAUACGUGGGACGCCGCAAAGAAAGAAUAUUUCCCUAUGAGAGUCGCACUGCUCACGACGGUGCACGACUAUCUCGGUUACGGAUAUCUCGCGGGGCAGGUGGUCCACGGAUUUUCUGGAUGCGUCAGGUGCAUGGAUGACACAACGUAUCGCCAGCUAGAUAGAGAUCCCGGGUCUUCGAAAACCGUGUUCAUGGGACAUCGAAGGUGGCUUCGCGAUGAUGACCCGUGGAGGAAACGCAAGGAUCUGUUCGAUGGUGAAACCGAACCCCGAAGACGCCCGCGUACGAGGAGCGGCGAGGAAAUAGACGAGCUGUUGAAAAAUUGGAAAGAUUGCCCACUGCCGGGAAAGAAGCAAAAGGCGCUAGAGCCGGGAAAGAAGCGAAAGGCGCCAGAGCCGCUGCUGAAGGUAUGGAAAACGAGGUCUGUUUUCUGGGACUUGCCGUACUGGAAGAUCCACCGUGUGCCUCACAGCCUUGAUGUCAUGCAUAUCACGAAGAACGUGUGCGAGAGUCUGCUUGGUACCCUGCUCAACAUGCCAGAGAGGAUCAAAGAUGGGCCGAAAGCAAGGGCAGACUUGAAAUCAAUGGGCAUCAGGGAGGAGCUUCAUGCUAGUGAUGAUGAUGAUGAGGCGAAGCAGGACACGAAAAGUCGUCGCAAAGGCAAAAAGGCCAAGAAGACCGGAAAUGACUUCCCUCCCGCGUGCUUCACUCUAAGUCAGGAGGAGAUCGAUCAGUUUUUCACCUGCCUCGUAGGAGUAAAACUUCCUUACGGUUACGCGGGGAAGAUAAGCAGAUACCUAGACUCAGCGAAGCAGAAGUUCAGCGGGAUGAAGUCUCACGACUGUCACGUGCUGAUGACGCAGAUACUUCCAGUUACAAUCCGUGGGAUCAUGGACGCGCACGUCCGUGAAAUGCUAUUUGGCCUAUGCAACUUUUUCGACGUCAUCUCUCGGAAGUCGGUUGGCGUGAGGCAAUUCAGAAGGCUACAGGAAGAGAUCGUGGUGAUACUAUGCGAGCUUGAGAUGUACUUCCCGCCCGCAUUCUUCGACGUUACGGUGCAUCUGCUGGUCCAUAUCAUGGAGGAUAUCAUCCAACUCGGGCCGACGUUCCUGCACAGCAUGAUGCCGUUCGAAAGGAUGAAUGGUGUCAUCAAAGGAUACGUUCGCAACAUGUCACGUCCAGAGGGAAGCAUAGCCAGGGGCUUUCUGACCGAAGAGUGCAUCUCCUACUGCACGAAUUAUCUAGGCAUCGAGAACCCCGUUGGUCUGCCCGUCAACAGGCACCUCGGCAGGCUCGCUGGAUGGGGUCACCGUGAGGGUCGCCGUGAAAUGCAUGUCGACUUCGAGGGUCGACUCGCCGACUUUGAAAGAGCAAACCUAGUCGCGCUACAACACAUAGACGUGGUCGAUCCUUGGGUGGUAGAGCACAAAACCUUUAUUGAGAAGACGUACAAUGACCGAGGCCAACAGAGGACGGACGGAGAUAUAAUCAAAGAGCACAACUCAUGUUUCACGCGUUGGUUCAAGCAGAAGCUUCUGUCGUACCCUUUCAUGAGGAUUCUUCCGCGGAAGAACAACUCAUAUCCGCCUUGUCACAGGGCGCCGAGCACAACCUGAUGACGUAUGAGGCGUAUGAUAUCAACGGCUACACAUUCUACACCGAGGACAAGGACAUGAAGAGCGAUGGUUAUCAGAACUCCGGGGUAACGAUGGAAUCCUACACCGGUAACGACAAGGACAGAUACUACGGAAGGAUCGAGGAGAUCUGGGAGCUGAGCUACGCUGGAGAGAAGGUCCCGAUGUUCCGUGUCAGAUGGGCCAAGAGCGUCAUAAAAGAAGACCGGUAUUUCACCACCAUGGUUAUACCCGAAGCCAAAUCCAAGACCGCGGGCGCGAACGUCACCGCGAAAAAUGAGCCAUGGCUACUGGCUUCCCAAGUGGACCAAUGCUUCUUCAUUACCGACCCGUCAAAGCCCAGUCGUGUUGUCGUGAGGAGAGGCAAAAGGAAGAUCAUCGGAAUGGAUGGAGUCGCCAAUGAGCAAGACUUCGACAAGUACGGCGACCCGAAGAUGGAACAUGACGACGACGAUGAAGUACCAGCAUACACCACAAGAAGAAGCAGGACCACCCUACCUAAAGGACGUCCGUUCAAGAGAAGAACUCCAUUUACGAAAAAUAAGGGCAAGAAGAUUGUGAACAGAUAGCUAGCUAAGAUCGAUUGUAUUUAAAUUGUAGCCUUCAUUUCUCGAUUGUAUUUCAUGGGCACUUUUUGAACUCAUGAAUAUUUUUAAAUUUCAUGGACACUCGAUCUCGAUCCCCCUCCAUCUCGAUCGCUAUCCCACCUCGCCAGAUCCGGUCCCCCUCGCNNNNNNNNNNNNNNNNNNNNNNNNNNNNNNNNNNNNNNNNNNNNNNNNNNNNNNNNNNNNNNNNNNNNNNNNNNNNNNNNNNNNNNNNNNNNNNNNNNNNNNNNNNNNNNNNNNNNNNNNNNNNNNNNNNNNNNNNNNNNNNNNNNNNNNNNNNNNNNNNNNNNNNNNNNNNNNNNNNNNNNNNNNNNNNNNNNNNNNNNNNNNNNNNNNNNNNNNNNNNNNNNNNNNNNNNNNNNNNNNNNNNNNNNNNNNNNNNNNNNNNNNNNNNNNNNNNNNNNNNNNNNNNNNNNNNNNNNNNNNNNNNNNNNNNNNNNNNNNNNNNNNNNNNNNNNNNNNNNNNNNNNNNNNNNNNNNNNNNNNNNNNNNNNNNNNNNNNNNNNNNNNNNNNNNNNNNNNNNNNNNNNNNNNNNNNNNNNNNNNNNNNNNNNNNNNNNNNNNNNNNNNNNNNNNNNNNNNNNNNNNNNNNNNNNNNNNNNNNNNNNNNNNNNNNNNNNNNNNNNNNNNNNNNNNNNNNNNNNNNNNNNNNNNNNNNNNNNNNNNNNNNNNNNNNNNNNNNNNNNNNNNNNNNNNNNNNNNACCUCUGCAGCUCCCCGCGCCCCCGCGCCCCGAGCCGGAGGAGGAGGACCAGGAGGAGGACGAGGAGGAGGAGGAGACGACGACCGCCUCUACCUCAGCUCAGCCAGGCCACGCGCCGCAGGCCGCUCCCCCCAAUCCAGGCCGCCGCCCGGACUCAAGUCUGCAACCUCUCCUCCUCAAGAAGAAGAAGAGGUACGAAUCCAUCUUCCCCUUCUCUUCUUCCCUUUCUAGUUUCUUCUUCGUCUCCCGCAUCUCAUGCGUGCGUGUGUGCAGUUUGUCAGGAACAAGAUCGCCAACGUCGAGGGGCUCCGGGAACUGACGACUGCACCAUCUGCUUCAACCCCCUCCGGCCUCCAGUGUUCCAGGUCUCACCCCUCCACCCAAAUUCACUUCUCUUUGUUUAUCAAAAUCCCUGCUCAUUUCCCCCUGCACGAAUCAUAUGCCGAUGGCACCACUGUUAGCCCCAUCUGAUCCACCAUUGCGUUGGGAGCCUGCAAAAGAAACACACAGAUUCAGAUAGACACCAACCUUCUGAACUGAAACUGAAGAAAGCAGUGGCAUCCUUUCCACAAGGUGCAUUCUCUUCUUUGAUACACACUUGGGUACUGUGAUAAGUGUCAACACACAACAAACACGAAAAAGGAAGAAAAUAAAAACUGUUACUCUCACGCUCCUACUUCUACCCCACCUUGAAAUCACAUUUUGCUUUGUCAGAAUACUUGAGUCGCCAGAAAGACGAAAGUUUUAACCUUUACUGUGAAACUGAACUAUCUAAAGAAACUACUGGAGGGUAAUAAGCAAUCUGAACACCUUACACCACCCAUUUUCUCUUACAGACUUGUAGCAAAACACCUCCCUAACUACAAAAAUGCCAACAAAAAAACUGAGGUAGGAGAUUAUACUCUGAGUGUUACCACUUGAACAUCAUUUCCAAGAAACAAAUUAAUUAAUCAAGUUUUGCAUGGCUCCCCACCGUUGUUUCCCUCUAACUUUCUGAACUGAAACUGAAGGCCUAUGUUUUUAGCAUGAGCAUCAUUUUCACAUAAAAUUUCCUUCUUGAAUGCGCAUGCUGUACUAGUAUGCAUCUGAAUGUGCACCAUAUCACUAUGUGUGCCUAACAUGUGAUUUUCCCUUCAAAUGCUCUAUCAUAGUGACAUGUAUGGUGAGGGUCACGGGACUGACUGUAUGGUUCUGCUGGUGUGGUAAUUGAUUUACUUGUUUGGUUUGGUAGCUGGAGCACUGUAUCAAUGGUGCUGAACUGCUCUUGUUAUGUGACUGGUUGGUGCGUUAUGAGCCACCGUGUUGUGUAUGGCCUGCCUGAGAAUUGGUUAAGUAGUAAGUUGUUUAGGCUUGGCCAUUUCCACUCAUUGUAGAUAGAUAGAGUUACACUUUUGUUACAUUGCGUUAUCUUUCUGUAGAGUAGUAAUGCUCCACUUCCACAUAUUUUUAGUUAGUUAUCUUCCAGUAGUAUUUCAAAUUGAAGCCCUGAGCAGCAACACCUCUUGUGUUGUUCACUAUCACAUAGUUGCAAAACUCCAGUUGCUUUGGUGCAGUUCUUCUUGCCACUGGCAGUUUUUAUGCUGCAUGACACUCGUAGUUCAUGGGGUGGAUGGUCCAUGGCUCAUAGCUCAGAAGAUGGAUAUAUGGCUAUUUAAUUUGCAGUCUCUUAUCUACCCUGCCAGUUAAUAAACAAGUACUCUGUUUUCAGAUAGCUUGAUAGUUAAUCAACAAGUACUCUGUUUUCAGAUAGCUUGAUCAUUGCAAUUUGUUGCUGUCAGCAUGAGUUUAUGUUGUUAUAAGUUUAUGAUCGUACAACUGCAAUUUCAUUUAUGUUGUUAUAAGUUUGUUGCUGUCAGCAUGAGUUAACUUGCUGUCAUUUAUCAAAAUUCAGAAUGUGCUGGACUAUAUGUUCAUUGGUACUACUUGUGAUGUUGCUACUGUACUACUUGGGAAUUUUGUCAACUUGUGAUGCUGCUGCUGUACCCCGAGAGGCCCUUGAGUUUGCUGGAAUGUCGAUUAACUUCCGUUCCGGCAAAUUCGGGUACUCCAUAUGUCCUAUUUUCAGCAAAGGUCAUGCUGAAAUUUUCCAUGAAUUUUAGCAUGACUUUGCUAAAAAUAGGACAUAUGGGGUACUUGUGACUAAUGCAUGGGCCGGGGUCUUAGUACUUAAUUAAGUAGGAUCAACUGCCCCUUUAUUCUUGCUGCAUUAAACCAUAGGUGGCAAUAGAGCCAAGUGAUUAGGCCCAACUUAGAAUUCUCCUUCCCAGCUUAGCUUUUAGGGUGCCUCGGUGUCGAUGAGAACCUAAAUGAUGUACGCUUAGGCUUUUAGGGUGCCUUAGCGUCGACAAACCCUAAAUGAUAAAAGUUUAGCUUUUAGGAUGCCUCGGUGUCGACAAACCCUAAAUGAUGAGACCAUGAUCUUCUUCCUUGACAAUAACCAACUUUUUGACCAAACUUUUUUCCUAUUUAGAGCGAAACAUGGCCCACAAUGAUGAGGCCGGCGGUUCGGGCGGCAAGCAAUUCUGGGAGCUGUCCCAGGAGCUGGAGGAAGAACCUCACCGCUAUGAGGACGACGCCGCGGAAGACACCGAUCCUGACUACACAACCCCUAGUGGCGUCGGGGAUGACACCACUGAUGGUGCCGCCGAGGAUGCCACCACUGAUGAUGGCGGCGCACGCACAGAUGGCAGCCAACCGAAGAGGCAACGGAAGGACCGGCGCCCGAGCGUGCUCGGCACCAUCAAGGAGGAAUUUACUGAAGUGAACUCCGACGGGCAUCCAACGGCGCCCAAACAAGUAGUCAAGGGGUACUCGGUUCAGCUCGGGUGCAUUCUCCGGAGCACCGUCUCGAUCAACACCGAGAACCUAAGGCAUAAGGACCGAGGGAAUUUGCGCAGCCUCCUCUUCACGAAGCUGCACGAACGAUACAAGUUCCCCGCUGAGUUUGCAAACACACGCCUCUCAGGGAAUAAAGUGAACAGUGCCGCCCUCACGAGGAUGAGCACGGCCCUGUCUACAUGGAGAAGCACGGUGAAGGCAAUGAUUGAAAAAGGUGAUAGUUAUGAGAAGAUCAAGGCGAAAUAUCCUUUGAUGAGCGAAGAUGACUACAAGGAGUUCAAGAUCAAGUGCGAGAGCAGCGCAAUCUCCGAAUCAAGUCAGUGGGGGAAAGAAAUGCGGCAGUUGAACUUAGGGGUCCACCAACUCGGUCCCGGCGGUUACAAAGUGGCGGAGCCUAUAUGGGACAAGGAGGACGCGGAGCGUGCCGAGCAAGGCCUACCGCCCCGCUUCGAGAAAUUCCGUGACAAGCAGACCAGGAACUUUGUUAGGGCCCGGUACAAGGAGGACCCGGUAACAAAGGAGCUUACCACGGAUCCGAAGACCAGGGCACUUGAGCUUGUUCUGGUAAGGAAUACACCCCCGCGUAAUUAGCUCCAUAUGGUUGCAUUCUAAUUAAUGAAGCCAAAUUUCUAAAUGGUUCACAUUCCUUCCGCAGGAGGCUGAAAGCAGUAGCGCGGGGUCGUCUCAGAGCUCCCCUUUUGACACCCCUUUAAAUAGGGCGUUGAACGUAAUGAAAAACAAGGAUAAGCUCAGUAAGCCGUCGUCAGCUGGUCGUGUGGCCGGCAAAGGCUUGUCCACAAAAUGGUCGUCAUACUAUACCGCUGGUGGGCGAAAGGAGAAAAAGACCAGCUCGGAAAGCCAGUCGCGCGAGGUUCAAGAACUCAAGGCACAAGUGGCGCGGAUUCCGGAGAUUGUCGAAGAGCAAGUGCAACAACAACUGGGAACGACGCUCACCGCCAUUGUGCCUACCUUGAUUCAGGGGCUGACGACGUGGAUUGCGGGCGGCCAACAGGGGCCUCCCUCGGUUCCCAGCUUCAUGGCCAGCAACUCGCACAACGCGCAGACGGCGCCAUUGGUGUCUCCGGCGGAGGCGGUAUUCGUGUCUCCGGCGCUGGCACGGGCAUUGGAGCUUAAUGCACCCAGGUGUACGCCGGCCGGCACCUCGCCAGCAAGCGGCCCCUCCGUCAGUUGCACGCCCGCCGUUGGCGGUGCCUCGACAUUAGCCGAGCUCGACGGCAUCAUGGUAACUAAGCCUCUCGGCCGAUGACUUCAUCUCCUUGCCUUUGACUAGGCAUCCUUGACGCCCUACAUGUUUUCGCAGGGCGCCGCCGACGUUCCUUGCACUCUCCUGCACUUCGUGGGCGGCUAGUUGGUUGAUGUCGCCAAGGGCAGAAUCAUUCAACCGGGCAACCGCGUGUUCCACGGUAAUCCGAUGCCACCCACCUUGUAUAGGGUUGAACUGGUUCGGGUGCCGCCAGGCUGCGACGAGUUGUUACCUCCGAUUCGACCCGCUGGGGCCGACGAAGAUGAUGUGAUGACCCUCAGUGCCUGCGUAAGCUGGCCCCUGCUUUGGCCGAAGAGCCAGAUUCGUUUGGGGGCGGGGGAAACCACCCCACAGACAAGACCGCCAGUCGUGCCAGCGCCAAGCCAUGGCAAGAACGCCGCAACGCUACCGGAUAUGCCGGACAUCCCUAUGGCACAGGAUCCGGACAUGCAUAUGGCACAGGAUCCGGACGAGACGGUACAUUUUCCAACGUCGAUAAGUACUUGCCGAACAUGGGUACGGUGACGAGUUCUGCGGGUCUCCUUCUCAAGAACCCAACCCUGAAAAAGACGACCGCGAUCUAGCUGGUACGGCGGAGAAACCCAAUUGCAACAGGUGUCGUCUGGCGUUCAGUUCUCAGGAGACGCCUCCAGCUGCCGCCUUCACCGAGCCUCAGAUAGCUGAGGUGCGAAAUAUUAUCAGCCCCAACACGCUCAAGAAGGCGGUCUGUGAGCAUAACUCGAUCCCAUUACAGCAGAUCAGGAAGAAGGGACAGAAACGAAAGACUAACAAGGGCGCCAGUGCGAGCCAGCCGGCACCGAGUACGAUCCGUGCUCAGGACGGGCCACCUUCACCUAAGGAUAUCUCGAGGAGGGUGCAUGUGGCGGGUAGGGCGAUGCUACCGACAAAUAUGCUCAAUGCUGCAACCGGUGCUAUGCGGAGUCUGCAUGACAGUGUUCUUUCUUUGGAGAAGCGGCGUCUCAGAGAGAAUGAUGUGGCAUACCCGGUUUUCGUGGCCAAGGUGCCAGAGGGCAAGGGCUUUGUGGAUAGCGCCGUCGGGGGUACGAUCGUCCUGUGGUUUGAUGACAUCUUUGCUAUUUUAACCUUCAUCCGCUGCACUACACCUUCGUUCGGCUGUUUUUGCUGAGUAUGGAGAUGCGGAUCAUUAGAGACAAGACUCCGGACAUUGUGAUGGUCGACCCCUUCUACAUGCGUGCCAAGAUCUUGGGCAGCGCUGGGGACCGGCAAGUCGCGAGUUCACACCUCGAAGGCGUCAUUCUGGCAAACCCAGAUAAGGAUAACUUCCUCGUGCCUUACAUCCCGAGUAAGUCAUCCCCUAACCGCCCCGUAACAUAUGAUUUCUUAGAUUUUGAUCUUUUUUUUUUCUAACAUUUCGUGUUCUGUGCAGUGACACACAUUGCACACUCAUCCUCUUAAGCCCGAAAUAUUCCAUGGCCACGUAUUUCGACCCGGACCGUGACUCCAAGAUAGACUACACAAAUAUCAAGAAAGUUCUUGAUGAUGCUCUCCCCGGCUACGCCGCAUCUGGAGGCACCUUUAAGAGGCCAGCUCGUAGGUACGGCAGGCACGUGUUCACCCACAAUACGACGUUCCCCUGCGUCAAGCAGCCGCCUGGCGGUCAGAAGGAUGCCUACUACGCCCUCCAUCACAUGCGGGCGAUCGUACGGGACCAUAAUCACCUUCUGCUACCAAAUAAUCUCAAAGAUUGGGCCGCAAGCUUGGCGGCAAUCCAGGACGCGGACAUCCGACAAUAAUUCUUUCGCAUCCAGUCGGAGUUUGCAGAAAUCAUCCAUCAAGAUGUCCUUCGUACCUCGGGGCAGUUCUACCUCAAAUAUCAACCGUCCAACAGUGAGAUAGACACAAUGCUACAAAUGCAGGCUGACAACGUCCGCGACUUCAUGACCAUCACGACAGACGACGGCUUCAUCCACGCUCCGGUCCCAUGAGUCGAGUCGAAAGUAGUGAUGCUAUGUGUAGUUCUGAAACAUUGAUUAGCUCAUGUUGUAAUUAAACUUUAAUGAACUUGUAUGUCUCUUUGGUUUGGACAGUCGUUCAACUUAGAUGUAAUCGAUGCUAUUUAUUAGUAGGACCAUGAAUUGUGCUAUUAAUGUCUUGUUUUUCUCUUCCGAUCCUUUUGCUGCAUACUUAUAUAUUGCUUAUGUAUUGUCUGUUGUUUGGCUAGUGCAUAGAGAUGCCGUCGUAUGUCGUGUACAAGGGUAAGGUUCCCGGAGUCUACGACGACUGGGAGGAGUGUCGGAGACAGGUUCACCGUUUCAGCGGUAACAGUUACAAAGGGUACACCACUAGGGCGGAGGCGGAAUCUAGAUACGCGCGCUAUCUAGCGGGAGAGAGGAGGGAGCGUUGGAGGAACCGGAUGAAGACCAGUUUCAUCGCGAUGAUGCUCAUCGUGAUGACCGCAGCUCUCUUCUAUGUGAUGGUAGUUUAGAUGAUCAAUAUCGACUUGUAUUGUGAAGACAAACUCGCUACUCGCGGUCUCGAGACUUGUAAUGUUCUAUCUUUGUUCGGUCUUUUGAAUUCGGAGACUAAUAUGAUGAAUUGUAUUCGGAGACUAAUCUUCUAUUGUAUUCGAUGAAUCUGCUGUUGCUGUGUGGUGCUGUCUAUAUUCUGUCCAAUAAUAUAUUUUGUAAUCUGUGCAAAUAUCAGAAAAGAAAAAAAAUCCCUAAUAUACAUACUAAUGGCGCAUCACCCCAACGUGCGCCAUUAGUAUGCCAAAGGAUACUAAUGGCGCAUCACCCCGCAGUGUGCCAUUAGUAUGGCAAAGCACAUGUGUAAAUAUUGCCCCCUGGGAGGCACACUAAUGGCGCAUGUUGGUCUAUACUAAUGGCGCAUCACGUCGUGUGCGCCAUUAGUAUACCAGAUACUAAUGGCACACCAGUGGUGCGCCAUUAGUAUUUAAUACUAGUGGCGUGGUACUAGUGGCGCACCAGUAGUGCGCCAUUAGUAGGCAAAACUGGUGCGCCAUUAGUAGGCCUUUUCCUAGUAGUGACUUCUUCGCUUGAUCAUGCAUGUAAAACGCACGGUUCAGCGGGGAAACCGCAAAUUAACGACACCCCUGAGCGUACAGUGGGAAAAGGCUAUCGGUAAGUGGCGAUAAUUUUGGGAUACCGAUGGUCUGUUAAAUUGCAGACAGCCUCCUUCUCUCUCCCUGUUCUCUCACCUCCACGUAAUAUAAAGUUUGAGGUGGAAAACAUUACAGACAGCUGAGUAGACGCCGUUGUACAUGCCCUCAAGGAGUUAAUCCACACCAUGGAUUGUAAAUGACCUGCAGCCAAACCAAGAUAUAAAGGAGGGCGUCACCAUCCGCAGAAACAUUAGAGAAACAAGAAGAGACCAUACACUUUGAUUUUAGGGAGGUGGAGGGGCAAUCCGAAGAGGAGUAGCGCUAUGAUGGGGCUUUUGCUUUUCAGGCAAACAUUUAUAGAUCGAAGGGGAGAGGUGGAGCAGUGCCUGUUCGGCUAUGGUAAUUGAAUGAAGGAAUUAGGAGCCUGUAGGGGAAGGGGAUGGGACGGGCGGGAAGGAGAAGAGGUUGGGAUUUUCUUUUUUGUUUGCGAAUUGACACCAUUGGCAUUCGGUGUUAAUUUAAGUAGGGAACUGAGCAACGACAUGCAUGUCUACAUGCCAAUAAAAAUUAGUUAAAUUCUUUUCUAGGCCAUGACCGUAGGAUGGAAAAGAGUGAUUGGCUGAUUUUGCAAACUUAUUGAUGAUGUGGCAUAAAGAUGAUAGGGAUAGUAUGCAUAUUGAGAGAAUAGGUAGAAGUGGGGAGUAACUUCCUAAGAAUGUUAGAUACCAAGCCGUGCAUGGCCGUGCUCGAAGUCAAAAGCGCCAUCUGAUUUGCCCAAUUUUCCUUUAACUGAGCGUGGCCAUGGAUCAGAUGACACCCCAUCCAGGUCUGGCUCGCAAACGAUUCAAAAAUAUUGUACUCCGGGACACGAGCUCAUGUCAACUCGUCGGGACACGGGACGCCGUGCGCGAUCGUCGGAUCGAUGCCAGGCACCUCUCGCCACUUUAGUCGCCGUGCACGUCGUCAUGCCCCCCUCGCCGUGCAUAAACACUGCACCUUCUCGCCCGUCCAUGCCCAUCUUAUCCUGUGCUGUCUCCAAUAUCUAGCCAAGUAAAAUCGCUGGCAGCAGGCAGUAGACAUGGGUGGCAAGUGUAAGGGCAGCCCUGUGGGGUGUUUCCUGCUCGCCGGGCUUCUGCUGGUGGCCGGACGGGAACUGAAGCAAGAGGAAGAAGACUGCAUAGACAAAUGCCUGGCAGAAAGCCCCGAGGAGGACUUCCCCCAGUGCUUUGCGCUGUGCCCGCACAGUGCUGUGGAGGAGAGCGGCGGCGGAAACAACGGCCGUACAACGGACUGCGUGGGCUGCUGCCGGGAGCACGAAGGCGAUGAUAGCGAGAGGAAGCGGUGCAUGAUAACCUGCAGCUGGAACCGCCUUGUGGAGGAGAGCGGCACCAGAAACAUCGUCCGUACGAUGGACUGCGCGGCCCACUGCGUGAGGUACGAAGGCGAUGAGAGGGCUGCGUAACAACCUGCAAGUGGGAGCUCCGGGUCGCCGGCGGCUGGGAGAAAACGGUGGCCGAAGUACUUCCGUUGGUGUAACGGCGACCGGGGCCCUUCUCUGUCUUUGAUUGUUUUUUCAGAGUGUGCUUUGAGUAUGUCGUAGUUCGCACACGUUGAUGUUGGCGUGGGAAUGUGCGUGUUACUUAGAGCUACGGUUCACCGGCCGUGGCCGGUGGCCGUUUAUGGCGCAGCGGCUUGUCCUCCUCCGACGGCGUCGUGCCCUCCUCGUGCCGUGGUGGCCUUAGAGGUCCGCAAACCUGCAUAUAAUCGAUGGAGCCGCGUCGAGCUCGGGUGUAGAGGUGAUUCAUCAAUUUCUUUGGUGGCUGUUUGGUGGUGCAAGAGGCAGGUGACGAGCAUUGGUGUCAAGCUCGAAGGUUUCUUUGGUCUUGUUUGUAUUUUUAUUUCUUGGCCACUGUUCCUUUAUGUAAAGGCUAGUGUUCUUCUAUUUUUUUAGUUUGUCAAGUCGGUAUGUACUCCCUCCGGUCCUUUUUAGUCUGCAUAUAAGUUUUGUCUGAAGUCAAAGCAUAUCUAAUUUGACCAAACUUAUAGGAAAAAGUAUUAACAUUUACAAUGUCAAAUCAAUAUUGUUAGAUUCAUUAUGAAAUGUAGUUUCAUGAAAUAUAUAUUAGGUAUGAUAGAUGUUGAUAUUUUUUAAUAUAUAUUUGGUCAAACUUUGCAAAGUUUGACUGGACCUAAAUCUAAUAUGCGGAGUAAAAAGGACUGGAGGGAGUACAUGGCUUGUACUAUGGUCCUUAUAAUAUAAAUGAAACACGUAUUAUCAUGAAAAUAAAAAUAAAGUUGCUCUAGGUCCUUGGGCCCCUUCUAAAAGAAGGUGUAAAGAUAAAAUGCGGAAUACUCGCACCAACCCAAUGACGCGCUACCUUGUGAUGUUGUGAGGUGAAAAUCUUGUGCUACUCCCUCUGAUCCGAAUAUUGAAGUUAUGAGGUGAAAAUCUAGGUUGCGCUACUCUUCGAUCUGAAUUAAUUGACCUGUAUAGAGGCUGCAUCAAUUAAUUCAAAUAUAAGAGAGUAGCAAAAUACAAAAAAAAAAUCCUGAUGAAAAUAUGUCCAGAGAUGUUUUUGGAAAGAACAUGUAUUAAUCAGCCCAAAUCACAAAAAAAAAACAGCUAGAUGAUUUUUCUUUUUUGUACAUGUAUCAAUCUGGUAACAUUACAUCAACGUCACCUUCUCCCGUGACGCUAACAAAAUCAGCACAACUAUACCUAACAGAACACCACAACGGUAUCACACAAGCUCUCAUGUACACAUCAUCUUCGCCGAGAAAAAGGCAAAAAUGGUAAAGAAAUCAACAAUCUUUCAGUCAAUCCAACUCCAAAACCAAUAAAAAUCAUCUAGCCCUUCACAGAUCUCACGGGAUGUACAUCAUUGCCUGUUAAGAUAAUUAAGAAAAAGUACUUAUCCAAAUGAGCAAAAAAAAA
rnacentral:lncRNA from 1 species